CACGCAGGCGGAUUGAUAAGUCAGGGGUGAAAUCCCGGAGCUCAACUUCGGAAUUGCCUUUGAUACUGUUAAUCUCGAGUCCGGGAGAGGUGAGUGGAAUUCCUAGUGUAGAGGUGAAAUUCGUAGAUAUUAGGAAGAACACCAGUGGCGAAGGCGGCUCACUGGCCCGGUACUGACGCUCAUGUGCGAAAGCGUGGGGAGCAAACAGGAUUAGAUACCCUGGUAGUCCACGCCGUAAACGAUGGAUGCUAGCCGUCGGGGAGCUUGCUCUUCGGUGGCGCAGCUAACGUAUUAAGCAUCCCGCCUGGGGAGUACGGUCGCAAGAUUAAA
rnacentral:rRNA from 1 species